rnacentral:rRNA from 1 species
AACGAACGCUGGCGGCAGGCCUAACACAUGCAAGUCGAGCGAGAAGCCACCUUCGGGUGGUGGGCAGCGGCGGACGGGUGAGUAAUGCGUGGGUAUAUGCCCUUUGGUACGGAAUAGCCCCUGGAAACGGGGAGUAAUACCGUAUGUGCCCUACGGGGGAAAGAUUUAUCGCCAAAGGAUUAGCCCACGUUGGAUUAGCUAGUUGGUGAGGUAAAGGCUCACCAAGGCGACGAUCUAUAGCUGGUUUGAGAGGAUGAUCAGCCACACUGGGACUGAGACACGGCCCAGACUCCUACGGGAGGCAGCAGUGGGGAAUAUUAGACAAUGGGGGCAACCCUGAUCUAGCCAUGCCGCGUGAGUGAAGAAGGCCCUAGGGUUGUAAAGCUCUUUCAGAUGUGAGGAUGAUGACAGUAACAUCAGAAGAAGCCCCGGCU